GGAAGGGCCAUAGCUCAGUGAUAGAGUGUCUGCCUUUCACACAGGAAAUCCUGGGUUCAAUCCCUGGCAUUUCCG